rnacentral:rRNA from 1 species
UGGCGGCAGGCCUAACACAUGCAAGUCGAGCGGUAACAGAAAGUAGCUUGCUACUUUGCUGACGAGCGGCGGACGGGUGAGUAAUGCUUGGGAACAUGCCUUGAGGUGGGGGACAACAGUUGGAAACGACUGCUAAUACCGCAUAAUGUCUACGGACCAAAGGGGGCUUCGGCUCUCGCCUUUAGAUUGGCCCAAGUGGGAUUAGCUAGUUGGUGAGGUAAUGGCUCACCAAGGCAACGAUCCCUAGCUGGUUUGAGAGGAUGAUCAGCCACACUGGAACUGAGACACGGUCCAGACUCCUACGGGAGGCAGCAGUGGGGAAUAUUGCACAAUGGGCGAAAGCCUGAUGCAGCCAUGCCGCGUGUGUGAAGAAGGCCUUCGGGUUGUAAAGCACUUUCAGUCAGGAGGAAAGGGUGUGAGUUAAUACCUCACAUCUGUGACGUUACUGACAGAAGAAGCACCGGCUAACUCCGUGCCAGCAGCCGC